AGGAAAAUUAAAUUACGAAAAACCACUGUUGCAACGGAAGCGGAUAUUAUCAAUUAAUUUGAUACAUAAUUAUCUCUGAAAUAAAAUUAUAUUUACUAUAGUGAUGAAAAUUAAAGACAAAAUAUUAAAGAUUAAAAAUAUUUUUCUCACGAUAAAGAAUGUAUGACUUAAUUACGGAUGCGAGACGAAAGUGCUAAUUAAUCGUCGCGGAUCUAUCGAGAUUGAUUUUCUUUCUUUGGGACGAUUUGCACUUCCCAUGCGAUUUUCUAUUCGCUGUAUCGGGAUGACGACACGACGAUUGCAAGAAUCUGCCCCCAUCCGGGGUACACAAAUUCCACGUGACAUUUUGUAAGAGCGUUACCAUUUAUACUCGCGAUUAGAUUACGCCUGUCGAAAAAAGUUAUUUUGAAUACGAUUAAGAACGUGCACGCUCACUACAAGAGAAGAAGCUUGGCACUCUUAUUUCUUUUUUUUUUUUAUUCAAUUCGAUUAAUCGUCCCGUCUCGUCUCUUGUUAAUCGCUCUCGAACAGAUUUUGCGGCGUGGCAUCGAAUUUUCUCGAACGUAUAUACGUACAUACGUAUCAGAUAUCGCGUGUCUUAUAUACCGCGUGUAAGAUCUCGUAUCGUCAGAAUAUUCGCCAAGCGGUAACCCCGCAGCGGAGGCUCUAUCAUUCUCCAAACAUGAAACUUUUAAAUCGAACUUUGUUAUUCGCAUUGUCACCCCCGAUCCGUUAUAUCACCGAUCCGUUGUAUCUGCCGCCUAUGUGUGUAUGCCGCUUGGUAUGUUAUGUUGUAUGUUUAUUUUCUGAUAUGACGCGACUUUUACUGAACUAAUCGCUCUUGCUGUUUGUGACAUAUGCACGUUCGCCAUAUUUCUUCUUCCACCUCGCACGAAGUGAAAUUUGCAUGCUGACACGGAGGCGCGGCUUCUCACGAUUUUUCACGUUUCUCGUUACAAUCGAGAAAAAAAUCGAGUCGGCGCAGAUGACCAUGCGUCAGAUACGAUACGCAAUCGUUUCUUGAUGUUCUAGAAGUAUUUUGUGGAACGUUCGGCGAUAUUCUAUAUAGGAGAUAACGACGGCGCUUGACGUAAUGUGAAAAUUGGAGUGAUUAUCGGAGGAUUGCCUGGUGUCGUUCACGAUUGAGCCUUGAAGGAGCCACAUACGAAGACAAGAGAAAUGGAGCAUUCCAAAACCACGCAUAUACAUGCAUUACACAUUGUAAUUAGUGCUUCUAAUAGCUUCUAAUAGAAUAAGUUCAUCAAAGAUGCACGCCAAGUUAUCCAUUGAUCCAGGCAAAUCUGGAGAUAAAGCGUUGGACAUUGGAAUGCACAAUAGAAUCAACCUGACCUCUCAACCACGAUAAGCGUUCACGUUGAACGUCUCGUGGUGUUGAAAUGUGAAUCACGCAUCAAUUAUCAAAGCGAUUUCUGAUUUGAUUAUGAAAGCCCGAAAGUAUCUUCGAAAAGUAAUCGAGGCGAAACUGAACGUAGAGACCAUAAAGCAAUGCUGUGUAGUUUGAAUUAAAUUCAACUAAUUUUUCUAGAAAUACAUGAAAAUUCUGUUAUUUUUUUCAUCCUCUGCUUUUUUUUAUUGCAUUUAUCAUUCAUCAUUUUUCGAUUUUGCUAAUUUUUGAUUGCACGCUUGCUUAGAGACGGAUAAAUUAUUUGGUAAAAAUAUUAAACAUGUAAACAUGUAAAAAGCGGAACAUAUUCAUGUAACGAGAUAAAAAACUCACUCUGUGAUCUAUUAAGUAUAAUAUAACGAACAAUCGACAGCCAUCAGUCUUGGAAAACUCGAGCACAUUUGAAACUUCAAUUAAUCCUUUAUUAUCUAUUGCGUGGCAACCACUGGAAAAGUUUUUAUGUAGCCGUUAUAAUAAACUAUAAUGAAUUCUA